GCAUUCGCCUCCUUGUCAGGUGCCCUCAACUGCCGUCUUCAAAGAUUGGUAACAGGGAUAAUCGGGAAGUUGGUGAGAUGCCAACACUGCCCCCGCAACGGUAAAUCGCGUUUAGCGAUGAGUCCGGAGACCGGCCUGGCAAAUAGGUGACAG
rnacentral:ncRNA from 2 species